UCAUAGCGACUUUUGGGAUAGUUUGCUAUCGACAAAGGGAGACAAAGUCAAGGGGUGAAGGGAAAGGAGGGCCAAGUAGAGCCUCCACGACCCUCGGCUUCCUCCUCACCAGCUCCCCCUCCCUCCAAGUCCAGUAAGAAGUUGGGCCAAGCUGGAAGGGAUUGACCGGGUUGCUUGUCUGGAGAUGGAGCCACUACAGGCGGGCCUGGGCGCCUGGAGUCGGGCAUGAAAGAAAAUAGCGCCUCAUCGCUCUUAUCUAAGCCCAGAGGUCCAGGGGACAACCUGAGGGCCCUGAAGUGUUUCAAUACCAUGUACCAGCUUGACUUCUCUACAUGUCCUUUGGAUUGCCCAAAAGCAAAAUCUCAGAGGGGCCAAGGACCUUCUAGGGCUGGCUCCCUCAGGGCCUCCUAUAGAGCAGCUCCUUGAGUCGGGCCUUAUAGCCACCAGAAAGUCACCUCGCCGCAGGAAAGCUAUAAAGAGCUGCUCCAGAGGCGCCGAAAGAGGGUGAGGGCUGCAGCCACAGUGUUUGUCCCCAGCACCACCAGGCCCCUUAACCUCGUCAGCUCCUCUAGCCCUCGGCCAGACUCUGGCAACACCUUGGUUUGCCUGGCACCGCAGGCAAUUUCCUGGAACCCCACCCCCACCCAGGAACGGGGACCACAGCACCUUUAAAGGAACUGCCAGAGCUUCCUCCUACGGCUUGAAAGCCCAAGCUAAUCAGUAACCCGUGAGACAGGGGCCAAUAUUCAAACGCUGCAGCAGAGGCGCAUAGCCUAGCCCUGGCCACCCCCUCUUGGGAAGGAGGUCGAGUUAAGCCGGUGUGGAGGGUCCAACAGGAACGGAAAUUACGACGGUGUGGUUCCUUAAGGAUUUGGCCCCAGUCCCACUACCAAAUUUUUCCCAAAUCAUAUUUAGGUAGACUUCGCUUGAAAAGAUCGAGAAUGGAGGAGGGGAUCGGCACUCACUUGCAGACAUCAACAGUUUCCAGAAAAUUCGGUUCAAUUCCUUCACCACGGACCCACCAACCAAGGAGCUGGCAAAACCCACUAACCAACCAGGAGAACACAGACCCGCCGUUUCCUCUCCCUCGCCGGCCUCGGCGGAGAUUCCAGGCCCUAUAGAAACCAGGACGUCCCUUAGCGCCACCGCCUCACAUGCCAGUGCUGCCGGGAACCCAGCGAUAUCCGCACCAGCGGAGAAGGUUCCAGGCUGCCGGCGGCGGCGCAGAGAGCGGGAAGAGAGGCUCGGAGGAAGCCCCGGGCGUGGCGUGGUCAGGCUCCGAGAGCGGCCGGGAUGCGGCCACACCGGCCUGGUAAACUCGCACCUCUUAGGAUCUUGCUCCCGGACUCAUUCCCUUCCCCACCCCCUAUUUUAAAGUUUUAUUUGGGUCGUCUGUAUCAAUUUAGAACGAGAUAAAUUAAGACAAAGAAAGUAAAAUAAAUCGAAAUAAAAUAUAGGA
rnacentral:lncRNA from 1 species